CCUACGGGCGGCAGCAGUGAGGAAUAGUGGUCAAUGGACGAGAGUCUGAACCAGCCAAGUAGCGUGAAGGAUGACUGCCCUAUGGGUUGUAAACUUCAUUUAUAGGGGAAUAAAAUGUUCCACGUGUAGGAUUUUGUAUGGACCAUAUGAAUAAGGAUCGGCUAACUCCGUGCCAGCAGCCGCGGUAAUACGGAGGAUCCGAGCGUUAUCCGGAGUUAGUGGGUUUAAAGGGAGCGUAGGUGGCUUGUUAAGUCAGUUGUGAAAGUUUGCGGCUCAACCGUAAAAUUGCAGUUGAAACUGGCAGUCUUGCGUACAGUCGAGGUUGGCGGCCUUCGUGGUGUCGCGGUUACAUGCUUAGCUCUCACG
rnacentral:rRNA from 1 species